ACGUAGGGGGCAAGCGUUGUCCGGAAUCAUUGGGCGUAAAGCGCGUGUAGGCGGCCCGGUAAGUCCGCUGUGAAAGUCGGGGGCUCAACCCUCGAAUGCCGGUGGAUACUGUCGGGCUAGAGUGCGGGAGAGGCGAGUGGAAUUCCUGGUGUAGCGGUGAAAUGCGCAGAUAUCAGGAAGAAUACCCGUGGCGAAGGCGGCUCUCUGGGACGGUACUGACGCUGAGACGCGAAAGCGUGGGGAGCGAACAGG
rnacentral:rRNA from 1 species